rnacentral:rRNA from 1 species
GUAGUUUGAUCUUGGCUCAGGACGAACGCUGGCGGCGUGCUUAACACAUGCAAGUCGAACGGAAAGGCCCUGCUUGCAGGGUACUCGAGUGGCGAACGGGUGAGUAACACGUGGGUGAUCUGCCCUGCACUUCCGGGAUAAGCUUGGGGAAACUGGGUCCUAAGUAACCGGAUAGGAAGCCCAUCUUUAGUGUGGUGGUUGGAAAG